AUCCAGCUGAAGAGUCCCAAAUAGGACGAAACGCACGUGCUAGAU
rnacentral:hammerhead_ribozyme from 1 species